rnacentral:rRNA from 1 species
AGUUUGAUCCUGGCUCAGAUUGAACGCUGGCGGCAGGCCUAACACAUGCAAGUCGAACGGUAACAGAUAGUAGCUUGCUACUUUGCUGACGAGUGGCGGACGGGUGAGUAAUGUCUGGGGAUCUGCCUGAUGGAGGGGGAUAACUACUGGAAACGGUAGCUAAUACCGCAUAAUGUCGCAAGACCAAAGCGGGGGACUUUCGGGCCUCGCGCCAUCAGACGAACCCAGAUGGGAUUAGCUAGUAGGUAGGGUAAUGGCUUACCUAGGCGACGAUCCCUAGCUGGUCUGAGAGGAUGACCAGCCACACUGGAACUGAGACACGGUCCAGACUCCUACGGGAGGCAGCAGUGGGGAAUAUUGCACAAUGGGCGCAAGCCUGAUGCAGCCAUGCCGCGUGUAUGAAGAAGGCCUUCGGGUUGUAAAGUACUUUCAGUCAGGAGGAAGGGUGUGAAAUUAAUACUUUCAUGCAUUGACGUUACUGACAGAAGAAGCACCGGCUAACUCCGUGCCAGCAGCCGCGGUAA